GUAGCUCAAAUGGUAGAGCGCUCGCUUUGCAUGCGAGAGGUACAGGGUUCGAUCCCCUGCAUCUCCAUUUCAAAAUUUUUCCAUUUUUUGGAGCCAUAUCGUGAGACCUCAUCGACGCGAGCGAAUGCUGCGAGUGGCGAAUUCGAUGCUGUUGGUGGAUUUGGAUUCGACACUGAUUGCUGAGUUCUCGCCGCUCUUCAAAAUGAGAUCUUUGAGUGAAGCAGAAGACUCGUCGGCGGCUCCACUCACAAUAGCCGAAAACGACACCUUCUGCUGCCCUAAUUCCCCCAUUAUUGGAGCCGGAAAAUUAGAGCUUUUAUGAACGAAGUAGUGAAGAAAAAAUGGUUGAAAACGUGGAAAUUGUUCAAGCUGUUGCUGCAUAAAUUGCCAGGUGCUUGAUUGCUCCAAUACGACGCCAAUGUGAUUAUUUCUGCAUUUACAAGAGCAAUUUUGAGAGUCUCUCAAGGGAGAAGUUGAGAAGCUGGAGGACGCGAAGGAGUCUCUGCAGCAUAUUAUUGAUGAUGCUAGAAGGAAAGGAGAAGAGGUUGAACAAGAAGUUGAGAGUUGGCUGAUGCAGAAGAUUAUUGAAGACGAGAAUGCAGAGAUCAAAUGCUUCAGCCUUCAAGGGAUGCCUUAUCUUGAAGAUCUAUUAGCUUGGAAAGAAAGCAGCGAGGGAGGAGAAGUCUGUUUCUCAAGCUCAGGGGAGAGGGGAAAUUCAAUAAAGUUUCCCACAGGACCAUUCCAGAGGUUAAGAUUAUGAGGUGUUUGAAUCAAGAAUGUGCACUUUGCAGGAGAUAAGAGAGGCAUCAAGUAAUCCUAAAGUCAACAUGAAGGAAGUUGCUAGACAAGCCGAGAAAGAAACCUGUUUGACCAUGUGGUAUUUGCGGAUGUAUCCCAGACCCCGAAAAUAAAUAAGAUUCAAGGGCAAAUUGCUGAUUCUUUAGGUCUGCAAUUCUCUGAGGCGUCUGAGCCUGGAAGAGCAUGGAGACUAUGUGAAGGACUGAGGAAAGAGAAGAAGAACCUGAUUAUUUUGGAUGAUAUUAGGGGAAGACUUGAUUUGGAGACUGUUGGAAUUCCUUUCAGAGAUGAUUAUAAAGGAUGUAAAACAUUACUGAUAUCUGGUUUUCUCAAUUUUCAUGAAAUAUGGUAUUGGUUUGGGUCUAUUCCAUGGCAUCAGUACAAUGGAAGCACAAGAUAGAAUGCAUACAUUAGUCUGUAAACUCAAAGCAUCUUGUUUGCUACUUGACGGCCAUGGAAGUGAAGAUUUUUCUAUGCAUGCUGUUGUUAGUGAUGUUGCCAUAUCAGUAGCAGCCUCUAGAGACCACAAUGUGUCAAGUCAAUGGCUUGAUGAGCCUAUGAUGUUAUGGCUUAAUUCAAAUAAACAUCGGUAAGAUUAUGUGUAUCCAAUAAGUAUUAUAUCUAGACACAUAACAGAGAUUAAUUAACUUCAAGCCCCAUUUUAUCAGC